rnacentral:rRNA from 1 species
CACGUAGGGCGCAAGCGUUGUCCGGAAUUAUUGGGCGUAAAGAGCUCGUAGGCGGUCUGUUGCGUCUGCUGUGAAAACCCGGGGCUUAACCCCUGGCUUACGGUGGAUACGGACAGACUAGAGGUAGGUAGGGGAGAAUGGAAUUCCCGGUGUAGCGGUGAAAUGCGCAGAUAUCGGGAGGAACACCGGUGGCGAAGGCGGUUCUCUGGGCCUUACCUGACGCUGAGGAGCGAAAGCGUGGGGAGCGAACAGG